rnacentral:rRNA from 1 species
AACGAACGCUGGCGGCGUGGAUUAGGCAUGCAAGUCGAACGAGAAUCCCAAGAACAGAUACUUCGGUUGAAGGGACUGGGAGGAAAGUGGCGGAAGGGUGAGUAACGCGUAAGUAAUCUGCCUCCAACUGGGGAAUAACAUCGGGAAACCGGUGCUAAUACCGCAUGUGUCCCGGCCAUCGCAUGGCGGCCGGGUUAAAGGUGCUUCGGCGCCGGUUGGAGAGGAACUUGCGUCCUAUUAGCUUGUUGGUAGGGUAACGGCCUACCAAGGCUAUGAUGGGUAGCUGGCCUAAGAGGGUGGUCAGCCACACUGGGACUGAGACACUGCCCAGACUCCUACGGGAGGCUGCAGUCGAGAAUCAUCCGCAAUGGGCGAAAGCCUGACGGUGCGACGCCGCGUGGAGGAUGACGGCCU